rnacentral:rRNA from 1 species
UACAGAGGUGGCAAGCGUUGUUCGGAAUUACUGGGCGUAAAGGGCGCGUAGGUGGCCUUCUUAGUCAGACGUGAAAUCCCUGGGCUUAACUCAGGAACUGCGUCUGAUACUGGAAGGCUCGAGUUCGGGAGAGGAAUGUGGAAUUCCAGGUGUAGCGGUGAAAUGCGUAGAUAUCUGGAGGAACACCGGUGGCGAAGGCGGCAUCCUGGACCGAUACUGACGCUGAGGAGCGAAAGCCAGGGGAGCAAACGGG